ACUGCCUUGUUCAUGUAGGCAUUAUUAUGUUGUAUAUGAGAUGGCCAUUUUACUUGUCACUGCCUUGUUUAUGUAGACAUUACUAUAUUUUGCAUAUGAACUGGCCAUUUUAUUGGUCACUGCUGCUUAUUUACUGUUGUUGUUUUUUUUGAACUUUGCUGACCCAAAAAUGUGUUCUUACCAAAGCAACCAGGAAAUAUUCUCACAGGGAUCAAAGAAUUCCUAAGAAAUGCAGUGCUUUAUGGAUAGUUAUGAGAUCAGAUAAUGUUCCUAUAGAUUUGCUGAAUAGAUGGAAAUCAUAGAUAUUAGAUGAACAGUCUGGCAUACUUCCCCAACAGUUAUUCAGAUGAGCCACAGCUUUGAAUGAGAUGAAUACAUUCAUAUCACAUAUUAUAGUGCAAAAAUCAAGAACAAUAACUGAGAUGCCAAUCGAGAUUUUACAGACAUAAUUUGAAACACUGUUCUUCACUUGUCAACUAAAUCCCAAGUUAUAUUUGAGACUGCUCAAAUAGCCAAAGGACAAGACAAUGGUCAAUCAUUGGAUAAAUAGUAAUUUGACUGGAACAUACCUAGGAGAUUAGAAACAGAUAAGCCUUGGAUCAAAAGAAGCAUGGUAUAUGACUGACGUGAGGAUGGUCUACCACUGGAUGGAUAUUUCAAGCAUACUGCAGCAACCAAAAGAUGAUAUAAAAUACUGGCCUGCCUUUAAUUCGAUGAGAUACAAUGUACAUUAAUUGUACAAUUCAAAUGGAAUGGUGUUCUUCAAAGAGAUGUCACAAUACAAACUGGAAAUCUGUUCAAGGAGAAGCAGUUGACUGUAUAUUUGUUAUGUGAUGUACUAUGUGGAGUCCAUGUUUUAUGUUGUUGUCUUGAUAAUAUAUACUAAUACUGUGUGCGCUAAGCGAUCUAUUGGUUUUUAUAAAAUAAAUUAAAUAGUACGCACGCUGUGAUUGGUUGAUAGCCAUGUUUGCAUGAGGAUAUGUAAACACAGUUGUGACAUCACAACUUUCGUGUUUUCCCAAUACAAGUUCAAAAAUUAAAAAUUUACAGUUUCUUUCGAGGAAAAAAACGCCCCCAAAAAUGUAUUUUGAAGACGAAGUUCCAAAUUUUGACUUGUGUCAGGGCCACAGGCAUAACCCUAUGGUCUCAUGCAGGUCUUUCUGAUCGUAAUAUCAU